UACGAAGGGGCUAGCGUUGUUCGGAUUUACUGGGCGUAAAGCGCACGUAGGCGGAUUGUUAAGUGAGAGGUGAAAUCCCGGAGCUCAACUCCGGAACUGCCUUCAUACUGGCAAUCUAGAGUCCGGAAGAGGUGAGUGGAACUCCUAGUGUAGAGGUGGAAUUCGUAGAUAUUAGGAAGAACACCAGUGGCGAAGGCGGCUCACUGGACACAUAUUGACGCUGAGGUGCGAAAGCGUGGGGAGCAAACAGGGAUUAAGAUACCCUAGUACG
rnacentral:rRNA from 1 species